UCUUCUUUGUUGGGUAGGCAACGGCAGAAGGAGGACGCUUUCCUUUCGUCUAUUCUCCUUGGAGAGGGGGUAGAGGGGCGACUCGCUUCGUUGGCUCGUUUUGGGAGGGGAAGGGGGGGAUCUUGGAAGGCCCGCGUAGGUGGUCGUAGGAGGAGGGUUACCGGGGGAGGGAGGAGCGGCGGCGGCGGAGGCGGAGCGGGAAGGAGGAGGUGCCGCGGCGGCCUUCGCGGUCGGCGUCCGGCCAGCGGGGGCCAGCGGCGCGGCGUAGGAGGCACGCGCACGUGCGGCGGUAGUUCACGCUGGGAAGGUUCCACCUCGGCGUCAGGCUGGCCCACGAGCAGGCAGAGCUCUGAUAGGGUCUCUUUAGACGACCCCCUCAGGACGAUGGUUUUAGACGACAAUUUAAGCUCUCUAUAAACUACCCGCUCUAAAAUAGCCAGCCACAACUACAAUCACUUCAACUUCGACCUUUCUUCCAAGAGAAGAGACUGUAUUUGCGAAUGCUCCACCUGGACCCUUGUCUUCUCUUCGUGACGAAGACGGCCCUCAGCCUAGAGAACCGACAGCAGCGUACUCGGAUGAGAAUUUAAGAUCACACCACGUGUGUACGAGGUUUACGGAAUAGAGUCAACGCGUUCGAAAACGAUCGAACUUGAGAAAGAAAACUACUAGUACCCAACUCACUAACUACUCAAAAUCUAUGUCCACGAAGUAAACAACGGUUUUCUGGCCCCCGUGCCACUAAAUUAAAAUGAGUAUGGGUGCACGUAAAAGGGAGAUCAUUACCAUGGGACUUUGGGACUGGAAUUACGUUUUGCUAUAAACCUUACACUCUGCUCUACGCAACGACCAUGCAU
rnacentral:rRNA from 1 species